rnacentral:rRNA from 1 species
AAACGAUGUCGACUUGGAGGUUGUGCCCCUGAGGCGUGGCUUCGGAGCUAACGCGUUAAGUCGACCGCCUGGGGAGUACGGCCGCAAGGUUAAAACUCAAAUGAAUUGACGGGGGCCCGCACAAGCGGUGGAGCAUGUGGUUUAAUUCGAUGCAACGCGAAGAACCUUACCUGGCCUUGACAUCCACGGAAUUUGGCAGAGAUGCCUUAGUGCCUUCGGGAACCGUGAGACAGGUGCUGCAUGGCUGUCGUCAGCUCGUGUUGUGAAAUGUUGGGUUAAGUCCCGCAACGAGCGCAACCCUUAUCCUUUGUUGCCAGCGAUACGGUCGGGAACUCAAAGGAGACUGCCGGUGAUAAACCGGAGGAAGGUGGGGAUGACGUCAAGUCAUCAUGGCCCUUACGGCCAGGGCUACACACGUGCUACAAUGGCGCAUACAAAGAGAAGCGACCUCGCGAGAGCAAGCGGACCUCAUAAAGUGCGUCGUAGUCCGGAUCGGAGUCUGCAACUCGACUCCGUGAAGUCGGAAUCGCUAGUAAUCGUAGAUCAGAAUGCUACGGUGAAUACGUUCCCGGGCCUUGUACACACCGCCCGUCACACCAUGGGAGUGGGUUGCAAAAGAAGUAGGUAGCUUAACCUUCGGGAGGGCGCUUACCACUUUGUGAUUCAUGACUGGGGUGAAGUCGUAACAAGGUAACCAAGGGCGAAUUCUG